rnacentral:tRNA from 1 species
GCCCAGGUGUUGAAACUGGUAGACAAGCUACUUUGAGGUGGUAGUGCCGUAACUGGCGUGCAAGUUCGAAUCUUGUCCUGGGCA